GUUUAACAAAAACACAGGUCCCUGCUAACUCGUAAGAGGAUGUAUAGGGGCUGACGCCUGACCGAUGCGAGAAGGUUAACGGUGGGGGUGCCCCGACGCAAGUCGGGAUGCUCACUGCCCGAAGCCCUCGUCAAUGUCAGCGAUAACUAUAAGGUAACGAUUGUAGUUAAAAAAUCUGACUAUAUGCUGGAAACUCCGAGCAUAUCAAAAUACGGCAAGGCCGCCUGCCUGCCAUUUCUAUGAGAACCGCGGUUUUCUUGCUCUAGCGGCAAGAGCCCGCUACGCCUCGCUCCGAUUUUUUGCUUCGCAAANNNNNNNNNNNNNNNNNNNNNNNNNNNNNNNNNNNNNNNNNNNNNNNNNNNNNNNNNNNNNNUGGUAAAAAAUCCUCAGAGACUAUACGUCAGAAUCGCCGAAUGGCGAUAAGAUAUAGUCCGAACUGCCCCGAUGAAAAUCGGGAUCCCGACUUCAUUAUUUUAGAUUUUAAAAUAGUGCGUCGGGACAUGGCGACAUGCAGAGUUGAUUCAAUAAAAAAUUGGAUCAGAAUAACAUAUGAAUCGUUCUAAGGUUCCGCGAAUUGCGAUGCCUUAGUAAAAUUUGGUCCCGACGCCUGUAACGGGUGCGGGAUGCCGACUGAAAAAUGUCGGCACUGUAUCGGUGAACAUCCUAUCCAAGUUUUGGAUUUAUCCUGAGCUUGUCGAAGGACAAUACCGAGGGAAGUUAUUUGCUCAAAUUUUUGGAUUUUAAAGUAAAAAAAAUAUCCCCAGACCGCGCUACGCUGCGGUCUGGGGAGGCAUUGGCUAUUGUUCGCUCUGGGGUUAACUAACUCUUUACCCAUGAGCUACCCUUUGCCGCCUAAAAAACACCUUUAAGGAUACCUGCGCCUACACGCUGUUAUGCUGAGCUUACGAAUACUGCUAGCUCAUACAAGACUACCAGCGCGCGGAGAGUUCGCAGAUAUGGUGGUUUCCGAUCCACCUGUUAGAAACAGUAUAGCAUACUAUAAAAAUCUUGUCAAUAGCUCCAAAAAAGCCAUGACAAAUCCAAAAAUUUGAGCAAAUAACCCCGUAGAGACUACACGCCGAACUCCGACGCAGGGUCGGAGAAGAUAUAGUCCGAACUGCAUAGUAAUAUGCAGAGGCAAGCAGAAAUGCCUUGCCCAAAUUCUAGAUUCUAAAUUUUAGCUUCUAGAUUCUGUAACAAUAUUGAGCGCAAUUCCUUUUCGGGUAAGUUCCGAAGCGCACGAAAGGCGUAACGACUGGAGAACUGUCUCAACGAAGAGCUCGGUGAAAAUGCGAUUCCCGUGAAGACGCGGGAUACCUGCAGCGGGACGAAAAGACCCCGGGAGCUUUACUGUAGUUUGGUAUUGGCUUUAGAAAUUGGAUACGUAGCGUAGUGGUGAGGAUUUGAAGCUUCGAUUUCGGUUGGAGCGGAUCCGACAAUGAAACAGCCAUUUUUCAAUUUUUAAAUUCUAACCUGAUCGGCAAAAACGGUCAGAGACAGUGCCUGACGGACAGUUUAAAUGGGGCAUUUCUCUCCUAAAGAGUAAUGGAGAGGUUUAUUAAGGUCGGCUUGGCCCGGAUGGAAAUCGGGCUGGACGCGUAAAGGCAAAAGCCGGCUUAACUGCGAGACCUACAAGUCAAGCAGGUGCGAAAGCAGAACUUAGUGACCCGACAACACUUUGUAGAAAGGUUGGAGACAACGGCUAAAAGUUACCCCGGGGAUAACAGGCUAGUGUCGUCCGAGAGUCCUUAUCGACGACGACGCUCGGCACCUUAACAUAUCGGGGUGCUAUGACAGCAAUGUCAUACUAAAAACAUGACUUAUAACGGUGGACUCCAUGUGAUAAAAUUAUUGCAUGGACAAUACCGUGGGAAGUUUAACUCAAUUACAAAGAUCAGUGAUUAUUGGAUCAAUUUUAGGUGAUGGAUACUUAAGAAUUUUUCCAGGAAGGAAAAAUGCGCUUAUGGAAUUCAACCAUUCUUUUAAACAGAAAGAAUAUGUUGAUUGGAAAUAUUUAAUUUUAAAAAAUAUUUCCGGUUCAGCGCCUAAAAUUAGAAAAGGCAACGGCAACAGAAUAGCUUAUCGGUUUUAUUCAAAACAAAUUUUUGAAUUAUCAGAAUUACAUAAAUUGUUUUAUAAAAACGGCAAGAAAAUUAUUCCUGAUGCCAUUAAUUUAGAUCCAAUAAUUUUAUCAGUUUGGUUUAUGGAUGAUGGAAGUAGAUGCAGAAGCGUUGACGUAUAUUUAAAUACCCAACAGUUCAGUAUUGCUGACCAGAAAAAAUUAAUCCUGGCUUUGGAGAAAUUAGGUUUAAAAACCGCGCUUAAUAAAGAUAAAAUUUAUUAUCGCUUAAGAUUUUUAAAAUCUUCUUUGCCAAAAUUAAGAGAAUUAUUGAAGGAUAAAAUUAUUCCUUCUAUGAAAUAUAAAAUUGAGUUAUAACCCCGUAGAGACUUAGCUUUGAAAAAAGCUAGAGUGCGAAUUUAUUCGUGCUAAUACGUCAUCUCCUUUUUAAGAUCAAAAAGGAUGAAGAUAUAGUCCGAACCUCUUCGUAAGAAGGGAAAAAUAACGACAGCGAUGUCGGCUCGCCCUAGCGCGGGGCUGGAGAAGGUCCCAAGCGUAUGGCUGUUCGCCAUUUAAAAGGGCACGUGAGCUGGGUUCAAACCGUCGUGAGACAGGUUGGUCUCUACCUGCUGUAGGCGUGGACGAAAGUCCGUAAACACUUGAGGGAAGUCGAUCCUAGUACGAGAGGACCGGAUUGAACGAGCCGCUGGUCUGCCAGCUUUGGUACCAACUGAAGCGCUGGGUAGCUAUGCUCGGAAAGGAUAAGUGCUGAAAGCAUCUAAGCACGAAGCCUCGCCCAAGAUUAGGUGUUAGGUUCGUGGAAGAUUACCACGUUGAUAGGCUCUAGGUGUAAGGCCAGUAAUGGUUUUAGCCGAGGAGUACUAAUAAACCGAUUUUUUCUUACGC
rfam:Candidatus Harrisonbacteria bacterium RIFCSPHIGHO2_02_FTLL_42_16 rifcsphigho2_02_scaffold_34167, whole genome shotgun sequence.